GCAUGGAGCCGACCUUGAAAUACCACCCUUUAAUGUUUGAUGUUCUAACGUUGACCCGUAAUCCGGGUUGCGGACAGUGUCUGGUGGGUAGUUUGACUGGGGCGGUCUCCUCCUAAAGAGUAACGGAGGAGCACGAAGGUUGGCUAAUCCUGGUCGGACAUCAGGAGGUUAGUGCAAUGGCAUAAGCCAGCUUGACUGCGAGCGUGACGGCGCGAGCAGGUGCGAAAGCAGGUCAUAGUGAUCCGGUGGUUCUGAAUGGAAGGGCCAUCGCUCAACGGAUAAAAGGUACUCCGGGGAUAACAGGCUGAUACCGCCCAAGAGUUCAUAUCGACGGCGGUGUUUGGCACCUCGAUGUCGGCUCAUCACAUCCUGGGGCUGAAGUAGGUCCCAAGGGUAUGGCUGUUCGCCAUUUAAAGUGGUACGCGAGCUGGGUUUAGAACGUCGUGAGACAGUUCGGUCCCUAUCUGCCGUGGGCGCUGGAGAAUUGAGGGGGGCUGCUCCUAGUACGAGAGGACCGGAGUGGACGCAUCACUGGUGUUCGGGUUGUCAUGCCAAUGGCACUGCCCGGUAGCUAAAUGCGGAAGAGAUAAGUGCUGAAAGCAUCUAAGCACGAAACUUGCCCCGAGAUGAGUUCUCCCUGACUCCUUGAGAGUCCUGAAGGAACGUUGAAGACGACGACGUUGAUAGGCCGGGUGUGUAAGCGCAGCGAUGCGUUGAGCUAACCGGUACUAAUGAACCGUGAGGCUUAACCUU
rnacentral:rRNA from 1 species